GUGCCAUCGACCCAACUGCCCGAUCCAAAAGUCGUGCUAAGGGGCUGGAAGACCGAUCUCCACCAUCGGCCACCGCGAGGCUGUGCCGACGGUUUCUACAUCGACCAGCCGCUGCCCAUGCCGGCCACCUCUAGUGCCGGUGGCGUUCUGGACGUCUUCUACGUAUUGCUGGCCACGUUCACGCUGGUGGCCAUGGGCUAUUCGCUUGCGAUCUCUGCUUAUUCUGAAUGGUGGAAGGGAGGUUGAACUGAUAAAUUUCUGCAACCACCUUGAGGUCCAUAACGUUCUCCUAAUUAUAUGCAGCCCAAUUCGUAAAGUUGUAUUUGUUUGAGGGAGAGGACUGCCUGUGAUCAGAAGCAAACAACUAAUGUGGGUUUCUGCACUACUAAUGUGUGAGAGAUGGGAUUCUCUGUCUGCUAGAGAGGCUGGUUCCAAAUCAACAUCGGAGCAAGCGCAAGAUAAGGGGACUGGGGUGAAGUCUUUUCUUCUUUGUCUCAAUGGUAUGCUGAUACGUUCAAACCUGCAUUUUAACUAUUGAUACCUAUAACGAGGCAGAGGAGGAUAUCCUGUUAGGGCGUGCAGCGCUGAGGCGUCGUGAGGAGGAGACGCCAUGGUGCCGGUGGUGCGCCCGCUGCUGGUGGUGCUCAGCGAGGACGAGUGCCAGAAGGGGCUGAGCAGGACGCCCUAGCGCGUCGACAGUAUCUGUGUUCAGGGAGGCUCCCACAAAAUCAAUUUACACAAUCCCUUCUCUGAUUAUGCACACAGAUCAGGAGAGACAUACUGGCGGGACAAUCUUUAAACCAUGAAGCCCUCUCACGGGUCGACAUUGAACAAAUAAUUCUUCUUUGAGACAGUGAAGAAAACACAAAUCAAUGUAGUGCCCGACCCGAAUUGGACUUCGCUGCUAUAAGAAGGAAGGGUCCAUGGCCGGAAUCUCCAUCAGGAUGCAUACUUGGACCAGAAAAUCCAUCAAGUCCCGUCGAAAUUUCAAUUUUCAACGAAACAUCCAAUGUCACCUUCGAGUUCGCCAGAGGUAGAAGAAUACCCGUCGAGCUGUCUAAUGUCGCCUCAUCAGACUUCGACGGAUCUCUACUCCUAAUGUCUCAGUUGGUAGUUUGAGACAGUGAAGGAGUACUCCAUUUGACCAUUUUAAUCAUCUUGAUCGUUUUCAAAUGGUUUUGUACUCCAUUUGAUCAGUUUCAGUUUCAGUAUGCACAUUUUCAGUUUCAGUACUCUAUAUUAACUGAAAAAGAGUACAUUUUGAUCAUUUUCAAAUGGUUCUGUUAUCAGGUAAUAGUGAUCCUAGAGCCAUCUACCCCUGGAUCCCUUCGCGGGCGCCGAUCCCGUCGAGGUACCUAGCAGAUCCCUUCCCGGGCGCCGGUUCCGUCGCUACGAAGGCUGCAACCAUUUGAAGCCACCGAUCCCCUUGCCAUCGUUGAUCCCUUUGCAACGUUCAGGAGCCGACGUCGAUCCCCUUCAGGAGCCAUCUGGUAUGAACGCACGGUCACGCCGAUCCCCUUCAGGAGCCAACGCAGACUCAUUGCGGGCCAUCCAGAUUGGGUACUCUGGAGCACAUGGGAGGAGGAGAAUGAUGGGAGGUGUGUAGAAUUCGGCGCCAAGGGAGACGAUCGAGAUGGUGGAGCAGAAUCCAGAGGACGCCGGGAGACCAGGUAGAGGAGAGACAACACCCGGAGCCCAUCGAUCCAGUGAGCAGUGUGUGCUGUUCUUGGUGACCGAUUUCGUGAUGCGGGUGUUCUGGCCCAACUUCUUAUUUUCCUUCUUUGUGGUCCGUAUGCUGCAGUGAGCGGGGGAUUGCUAACUUUGUGGUAACCUGCUGAGCCGACAUAGACGCCAAGUGCGGCGAUGCCUCUUCCGAUGAUUGGGAGGGCGAGUUCUUCCUGGGCUUUACCAAGAUCAACUAUGAGCAAGAGGAAGCUUUCUUACAAGUGGUGUAACGCGGAGGAAGUGAUUCUUGUAAAGAAAAUGUUAGGUUGCGGUUCAGUGUGGCAUUCUGGCAUAUGUUUCGGGGUACUGGAGGAGAUCCUUUUGGUUCACCUACAAAGAACUGGCCUUGGGAGGAUGGCACAAAUUCCCUGGCCAUGGCUAAGAGAAGAAGUAUGGGAAUUACCUGAUCUUGUGUCUUAGGUCCAUGGCUGGAAUCAACAACUUAUGCUUCGAUUUCUGUUUCGGUGAUAUCUCAAUUCGAGUUCAUGAAGAAGCUUGGAGUUGACAGGUGGUGCUUCCAUGACAGGGAUAUCGCCCCUGAUGGCAAAACACUCACGGUAUGAUUUUAUUAGAAUGAUUCUUGAAGUUGCAAGUUGCAACCUCGAGUUAGGGGAAUUGAGACGGGUAGUGACCGACAUUAGAGCAGGUUUAUUAUGAUUGUAUUUACAAGGGUACAUGACUAUGUUUUCAACACAAGGAAUAUGGUUGUUGAUGGUUUACGGCCCGGCUGCGCCCACAUCGUCCCGACACCAAGUUCGAGACCAAGUUCUAACCCCUGUACCCAAUCAACCUCCAUGGAUCUUGUCUCUCACUAACCAAGAGCAUCAAUUCAACUCAACAGAUUGACAAAAGAGAUGAACCUAGAGUUUGAGGCUUGGGUAGUGUGGACAUUGACCUGAUGAUGAGUGUUGUAUGGUGGUCAAGUGGUGCCACUUCCCCUCGCCACAUGCUGCUUAGUCUGCUCAUUGAAGGUGCUCUCUGUUGGUGUUUGGCUGCUGCUGCUGAUGUAGGUCAAGCCCCGACAAGCCAUGACGCUUGAAGAUAUGGAGGCGACGAAUCUGUGCCGACCCCCUCUUGGUGAUAACUCGGUCGGAGCCACUCUUGGUGACAUCUUGAAAAGGAGUACUCUACAACUACUGCUUCACAAGGGAGGCAAAAGGAACAUAGUCCAUCUUAUAAGCAGUUCAUUACCAAAACUUGAAUUUGCAAAAGGAACUUGAAUGAUCAUUUAAAUUGUGUGGAGUGAUUAGCCAGAAAGAGAAGAGAAAGAAAUGCUUGUAGGAGUGACAAUUAAAAUAAGAUAAUUGUUGGAGUAAACAACACUCGAUUAGUGACAGUUGAGUGACAAUUAAAGAGGGCAUGAUGAUGUGAUAAUUACUGUAACUACUCUACAUUAACUGAGAAGGAGUACUCCAUUUGACCAUUUUGAUCAUCUUGAUCGUUUUCAAAUGGUUUUGUACUCCAUUUGACCAGUUUCAGUUUCAGUAUGCACAUUUUCAGUUUCAGUACUCUAUAUUAACAGAAAAGGAGUACACUUUGAUCA